rnacentral:lncRNA from 1 species
UCUUUUCGGUUUCUUGAUAUUCAGGAAUAAACCAGACGCCGGUUCGCAACAUGUAUAUUUUUGUUGAAGAUUUGCUCCGGUCCAACAAAAAGUACCUCGAAAUACCGGUAUCUUGAGGUACCAAAUCAUUUUUCACCGUUGGAUCUAGCUGAGUAGGAUGUGCACGGUUAGAUCCAACGAUCAGAAACGAUUUGGUACCACGAGGUACCGGUACCACCGGAAUCUCGAGGUACUUUUUAUUACUUUUUGUUGGACUGAAAUAAAUCUCUUUUGCUGUAUUUGGAGAUCUGUUCUCUUUUUUCAGUUAAAGUACACAGGCCGUACAUGAAACUAGUAAGGCCAGAAUGUUCAUUUCAGUGAAAACAAGUACUCCUAUCUCCUUAUGUAAAACACUACUCUAUACCAUACUGGAGUCAGGUCAAUACCAUGAGAACCUUAUGAGUUCAUCACAAAACAUUGAUUGUAAAUUAAAUGCACCAAUAGAGAUCGAC